CCCUUAGAUGUUCUGGGCCGCACGCGCGCUACACUGACACGUUCAUCAAGUCUAUAACCUUGACCGAGAGGUCUGGGUAAUCUUUUAAAAACGUGUCGUGCUGGGGAUAGAUUAUUGCAAUUAUUAAUCUUCAACGAGGAAUUCCUAGUAAACGCAAGUCAUCAACUUGCAUUGAUUACGUCCCUGCCCUUUGUACACACCGCCCGUCGCUACUACCGAUUGAAUGAUUUAGUGAGUACCAGGGACCGAGCGCUUUGGUUGGGUUUCCUUCCCUAGCGCUUGGGAACUGUCGCAAACUUGACCAUUAGAGGAAGUAAAAGUCGUAACA
rnacentral:rRNA from 1 species